UCAAAUAAUCACCGUUUCUCAGAUGUUUUAUUUGCGACACUGAAAGCACAUAGCAGUUCCGUUUUGGUUUGUCCGUCGCCGCUGCGAGAGAGUGCCCUAGCUACCUCUUGAGCUUGUCAUCUUCGCGACUGAGAAAUCCAUUUGUUUUUCUCUAGCCUUCCGAUUUUGAAACAGCGUCGCAAGGAGAAAGCUAUGGAUGAGGGAAAGCAUAAAUCGAGGAAAGAAAAUCAUGAGGUGAAAGAUGGGGAUUCUAAGAGGAGUCACCGUGACCGUGAUAGAACUGGAGAAAGGGGUAAGGAUAAAAACGAUGGGAGGCACAGAGAUAGGGAGAAGAGGGAUCGUGAGUCCCGAAGACCUGAGAGAGAGAGGAGUACUGAUUCUGAAGACAGGUAUGAUAGAGACAGGGAGAAGCGCAAAGAUAAAGAUAAGGAUGUGGACCGAGAAAGAAGUCGAGAUAAGAAAAGGGAAAGGGAUAGGACAGACAGAGUAAGGGAGAAAGAAAGAGAGAGGGAAAGAAAAGAAGAUAAGGAGAGGAUCAGAGAGAGGGAAAGGGAAAGGGAAAGGAGGGAUCAUGAGAGAGAGAAGGAAAAGGAAAGAGAAAGGGGGAGGAGAGUACGAGGGAGGGAGAAGCGUAGGGAAGUUGAUAGUGAUUGCAGUGAUGGUGAAUCUAAGGAGCAGGACAGAAAGCGGCAUAGGAAAGAGGAUGGUGAUUACAAGAGAGAGAGGGAAAGGAGUGUCAGCAAGCCAAGCAGGAAAUCUGAGGAACAUGAAGGAAGCCCAAGAAAAAAGAGUGGCGAAGAUGAUUCAGAUACCAAAGAUGAAGAGAAAAAACCUACCCGUGAAGAGGAGAUGGAGGAUGAACAAAAGAGGUUGGAUGAAGAAAUGGAAAAGCGGAGGAGGAGAGUUCAAGAGUGGCAAGAGCUAAGGAGGAAGAAGGAAGAAGCAGAAAGAGAAAAACAAGGUGAAGCAAGUGCUAAUGAACCUGAGUCUGGAAAGACCUGGACACUUGAAGGGGAAUCUGAUGAUGAAGAAGGACUGGGUACUGGGAAGCAGACAGGUAUGGAUGUAGAUGAAGAUGACAAACCUGCUGAUGAGGAGCCUAAGGAUGUGAUGGUGGUAGAUACUGAUAAUGGGACAAUUGCAUCUGAUUUACAGGAUGGAACUGCUGGUGCUCCUGAAGAUGAGGAAAUAGAUCCAUUGGAUGCUUUCAUGAAUUCUAUGGUUCUACCUGAAGUUGAAAAGCUAAACAAUGCUGUGACAUCGUCACUUUCUGAUAAAGCCAUUGAUGUAAAACCCAAGGAUAAAGGGAAUGGGCAAAAUCGUGGUGCACAGUCAAGGAAAGGUUCAAAUAAGUCUAUUGGCAGAAUAAUUCCUGGUGAAGAGUCUGACUCAGAUUAUGCAGAUGAUGAAGUUGAGAAGGAUCCAUUGGAUGAAGAUGAUGAUGAGUUCAUGAAAAGAGUGAAGAAGACAAAAGCCGAGAAGCUUUCUUUAGUUGACCACUCAAAGAUCGACUAUGAACCAUUCAAGAAAAACUUUUAUAUUGAAGUGAAGGAGAUCUCAAAGAUGACUCCUGAAGAAGCUGCAGUAUACAGGAAGCAGUUGGAGUUGAAGAUACAUGGAAAGGAUGUGCCAAAGCCAAUAAAAUCAUGGCACCAGACUGGACUUCCUAGCAAAAUUUUGGAGACCAUAAAGAAGAUGAACUUUGAAAUGCCGAUGCCUAUUCAAGCUCAGGCGCUCCCUGUAAUCAUGAGUGGUCGAGAUUGCAUAGGGAUUGCUAAAACUGGGUCAGGCAAAACACUUGCUUUUGUUCUGCCAAUGCUGAGGCAUAUCAAGGAUCAGCCACCAGUUGUUGCUGGAGAUGGACCUAUUGGGCUCAUUAUGGCCCCUACAAGGGAACUUGUGCAACAGAUUCACAGUGAUAUAAAGAAAUUUGCCAAGGUACUGGGUCUCAGGUGUGUGCCUGUGUAUGGAGGAUCUGGUGUUGCUCAACAAAUUAGUGAGUUGAAACGUGGUGCUGAGAUAGUGGUUUGUACUCCAGGUAGGAUGAUUGACAUACUAUGCACCAGUAGUGGAAAAAUAACUAACUUGCGUAGAGUCACUUAUCUGGUAAUGGAUGAGGCUGAUCGAAUGUUUGACAUGGGUUUUGAACCUCAAAUCACACGAAUUGUUCAGAAUAUUCGUCCAGAUCGUCAAACAGUUCUGUUCUCUGCUACUUUCCCCCGUCAGGUUGAAAUCCUGGCUCGUAAGGUCUUGAAUAAACCUGUUGAAAUACAAGUUGGUGGGAGGAGCGUUGUGAACAAAGACAUAACACAGCUAGUUGAGGUGAGGCCAGAUAAUGAAAGGUUCCUUAGACUCUUAGAAAUAUUGGGGGAAUGGUAUGAGAAAGGAAAGAUUUUGAUAUUUGUUCACUCACAGGAGAAAUGUGAUAGUUUGUUCAAAGAUCUGCUCAGGCAUGGUUAUCCAUGCCUUUCUCUUCACGGGGCUAAGGACCAGACAGACCGUGAAUCCACAAUAUCUGAUUUUAAAAGCAAUGUCUGCAAUUUGUUGGUUGCAACCAGUAUUGCUGCCAGGGGAUUAGAUGUUAAGGAGCUCGAAUUGGUGAUCAAUUUUGAUGUUCCUAACCACUAUGAAGAUUAUGUACAUCGUGUUGGGCGCACCGGACGAGCUGGCCGAAAGGGUUGUGCCAUUACAUUUAUUUCUGAGGAAGAGGCAAGAUAUGCACCUGAUCUGCUGAAAGCCUUGGAACUAUCUGAGCAGAUUGUUCCGAAUGAUCUGAAAGCUCUUGCUGGUAGCUUUAUGGCAAAAGUGAAUCAAGGACUGGAGCAAGCUCAUGGGACUGGUUAUGGAGGCAGUGGCUUUAAAUUUAAUGAAGAGGAAGAUGAGGUGAGGAAAGCAGCAAAGAAAGCACAAGCCAAGGAGUAUGGGUUUGAAGAAGAAAAGUCAGAUUCUGAAGAUGAAGAUGAAGGUAUUAGGAAGGCAGGAGGUGAUAUCUCACAGCAUUCUGCUUUUGCCCAGAUUAUUGCUGCCACUAAAGGGAAUGCUCCUGCAUUGCCUACUCCAAUACUCCUACCAUCCUUGCAAGUCUUGCCUGGGACAGGGCUACCUCUUCCUGCAAACGAUGGGGCAGCUCGAGCAGCAGCAAUAGCUGCUCUAAACUUGCAGGACAAGUUAGAUAAAAUACGAUCAGAAGCAUUACCAGAGCAUUAUGAGGCUGAGUUGGAAAUAAAUGAUUUCCCCCAGAAUGCUCGCUGGAAGGUUACACACAAGGAAACUUUGGGCCCUAUUUCUGAAUGGAGUGGAGCUGCCAUUACCACUAGGGGGCAGUUUUUCCCACCUGGCAAAAUCCCAGGACCUGGGGAACGCAAACUCUACUUGUUCAUUGAAGGUCCUACUGAGCACUCCGUUAAGUCAGCUAAAGCAGACUUGAAGCGUGUUUUGGAAGACAUCACAAAUCAGGCUUUGCAACUUCCUGGUGGAACUCAACCGGGCAAAUACUCUGUUGUGUAAAGGUCAACGUGAAGGCAUAAUGGGACUCUGUUAAACACUCUUGUCUCGCGCCCCAAUCUGGGACAAGUUGCACAUAUUGUCUGCCUUUCACUUUUGCCAUACAGGUGGGUCUUUUGAACCUAUGAUUGCAUGUUCCAUUCCAUUCAUCGUGCUUGCAUCGUGACUGUCUAAGGUGCUGAUCGUGGUGCGACUUUUAUUUUAUCUAGGUUCUGUUUGAUUUGAUGCAAUGCAACCAACUCUAAACUCAGAUAUUUUGCUGUGAUAUCCCAUGUACGAGUUGUAGAAUUUAUGAUGCUAUUAUUUAUCUGAUUAUACGCGUGUAUCUUUCAGGUUUUGAUUCGCUGUCCUUUUGUAAGGGAAACAAGAUUUGAUGGAGAGUUUCAGUUAUUAAUGCAUUUGCCUUACCACCACUAUUUCAGUACAUGUACCAUAGUAGAAUAUCUUUCGAAUAAGUUUACUUUAUAAUACAUACGCUUAACAUGGCAUCUAAAUCGUAGGUUUAGGAUCGUAGCUCACAUAAAAUCAUUGCAAUUGUAUUGUUUCGUGAAAACUAAUCAAUUCUCUUUUGUGUUGAAAUUCUUAGGAAUAUUGUAAAAUUUUAUUCGGUUGGCUUAAAGCAUUUUUAGGAAUUAUUGACGAAAAAUUCUUACUUAUUGAAUUACUGAAAUUAUGUGGAGCCUGGAGCUAUAUUUAUAUGUA